UUGUUGUUUAGCCAUUUAGUCGUGUCUGACUCUUCAUGACCCCCUGGACCAGAGCACGCCAGGCACUCCUGUCUUCCACUGCCUCCCGCAGUUUGGUCAAACUCAUGCUGGUAGCUUUGAGAACACUGUCCCACCAUCUCAUCCUCUGUCGUCCCCUUCUCCUUGUGCCCUCCAUCUUUCCCAACAUCAGGGUCUUUUCCAGGGAGUCUUCUCUUCUC
rnacentral:lncRNA from 1 species